ensembl:lncRNA
GGAAAAUGCCAAGAUUGUUCAUGCUCACUGAAUACUUUUGUGUUACCUCCCAAAUUAACCCCUAUUCUUAUAUAGUGUACUGCUUUUCACCAGCCUCCUCUUUGGGCUCUUGUCAAAAAGUAGUGCACUGUAUAGAGUGUAACUUGGGAUUCUGCCUGUGUGGGUGGGUUAAGGUCAUGUAGCAUCAAACAUGAAGGAUCACUGAAUCGUAUUGACCAGAGGAUCACUGAGUCGUAUUGACCAGAGGAUCACUGAGUUGUAUUGACCAGAGGAUCACUGAGUUGUAUUGACCAGAGGAUCACUGAGUCGUAUUGACCAGAGGAUCACUGAGUCGUAUUGAUCAGAGGAUCACUGAGUCGUAUUGAUCAGAGGAUCACUGAGUUGUAUUGAUCAGAGGAUCACUGAGUUGUAUUGAUCAGAGGAUCACUGAGUUGUAUUGAUCAGAGGAUCACUGAGUCUAUUGACCAGAGGAUCACUGAGUUGUAUUGACCAGAGGAUCACUGAGUUGUAUUGACCAGAGGAUCACUGAGUUGUAUUGACCAGAGGAUCACUGAGUCGUAUUGAUCAGAGGAUCACUGAGUCGUAUUGACCAGAGGAUCACCGAGUCGUAUUGACCAGAGGAUCACCGAGUCGUAUUGACCAGAGGAUCACCGAGUCGUAUUGACCAGAGGAUCACCGAGUCGUAUUGACCAGAGGAUCACCGAGUCGUAUUGACCAGAGGAUCACCGAGUCGUAUUGACCAGAGGAUCACUGAGUCGUAGUAGUUAUUACCUGAAGACUGUAUGACGGUUUGCGUCCCAAAUGGCACCUAAUUCCCUUCAUAGUGCACUAUUUUGGACCCGUGUCCAUAGGGCUCUGGUCAAAAAGGUAAAUUUAAAAAAUAAAAAAAACAUUUAAAAAGUAGUGCACUAUGUAGGGAAUAGGGUGCUAUUUGGGUUAAAAGUAGUGCACUAUAUAGGGAAUAGGGUACCAUUUGGGUUAAAAGUAGUGCACUAUAUAGGGAAUAGGGUACCAUUUGGUUUAAAAGUAGUGCACUAUAUAGGGAAUAGGGUACCAUUUGGGUUAAAAGUAGUGCACUAUAUAGGGAAUAGGGUGCCAUUUAAUUUGGGUCUCAGUCUCGUCUGCCUUCAUCUCUGCUGUGGUUUCGUGGUUGUGUUUUCUUUUCAGGCAUUGUCUAACCUCGUCCCCCGUCUGAGGGGGUUUAACAGUGUCAGGUGCACAAGAUGUUAUGUUGUAAUUACC